UAUGAUGAUGGUAAGAUGGAGUAUGCCUAAGACCUUGUGUACCAAGCAAGAGAUGAGAAAUCCAGCAUGCAGGAUGGAAUUGGCUGAGUGAAAUGUCUGCCUGAAAAACCUUACGAAGGAGAGGGCUAUUACAAAAAAUGAGGUUGUUGUAAAGGCGUGCACAUGCUCGAAGCCAAUUCAAUUGCAUGGGUUUUAAGCCACAUUCCUGUAACACACUCCAUGAAGGUGUAGAAUUCCUGACCCCUAGUAUGGUGCGUAAAAAUUGUAAGAGCCACUUUAGAAUGCAAUUUUCCAUCUCUUGACCCUGUUGCAGAUAGGAAGUGGCCCAAAUCUGAGAAGCGUACAUGCCUGCUGGGAUGACAUAAGUUUUGAAUAACCAGAGAUACGCAUGUAAACGAUGAGUGAGACCAUGUUGUUGAAUAAAAGUACGCAUUCUGGCCAUGCUUGCCAGGCACAGCUUGAUAGCCUCCUCUGCAGCUUUGUUCAGAUUAAACUUCUUGUCACAAAACAUGCCUAGAUAUUUGAAAUGCUCAGAGAAAGGCAGUUCCUCAUUGUUGUACAGGAGAGUAGGCAUAUUGUGACCCUGCGAAUUAAAACACACCACAACAGAUUUCUGUGUGUUGACGGUCAGGAAGUUGUCACGGGAGUAUGUGGAAAGGCGAUUCAGCAUUUGCUGUAAAUUGGACGGGGAGUUAGAAGUGAGGCACAGGUCGUCAGCAUAAAGGAUAUGGGAGACAGCAAGGUUGGGAAUUCCUGUACACGCGGCUGGGAUAUCAUGAAAGAUGCUAGGGAUGUCAUUCAGGUAUAAGGAAAAGAGCAAAGGAGAUAAGGGACAACCUUGUUUGACACCAUGUGUUGCUUUGAUACGCGCGUGUUUGUCUCCAUCAACCAAAAUGUAUUCAUCAUCUUGGUACAGAUUCAUAAGAAUAUGAAUGAAAUGUGAAGGCAGUCGACACUUCUGUAAAUGUUGCCAGAGUCGAUGUCUGGGUACAGAGUCAUACGCUUGCUGAACAUCAUUAAAGGCAGCAUACAGACGAGAAGAGUGAUGUGGUUGAUGAAUUUGUGCAGCAUUCCUCAGAUGACAGAGAAAAAAGAGUGGGUGAAGAGUACUGCGCCCAGGAUAAAAACCAAAUUGAGAGUCAGGUAUUGAAUGAGUUUGCUCACACCAGUCUUGCAAAAGGGUACGAAGCACAUUGGUAUAAAGGCGAUAAAAGGUCCCACUUACAGCAAGCAUGCGGUAAUUACUGGCAUGUACAAUGGAACCUUUUUCACACAGAGGGGUGAGUUUAGUAGUCUUCCACUCUGAAGGUAUGGAGGCUUUAAUAAAAAGCAAAUGAAAAAAGGUUGAAAUGAUUGGUGUCAGAACAUUGGUUUGUUGGAAGGCUCUGCCGUCAUCAUGCCUAGCCACUGUGCAAGCAUACUUGAGAAAAGCUGGCAAAAUAGAGUCAAAUCCUGGUGAUGAGCUACCGUUGAGGCGUGAAAUGUGGAGCGCCACAAUCUUAUGUAUUUGACUCUCGUCAGGAAGAGGAAAACUAUCAGAAGAGGGCGCAUCGUCUUGUGACUGGUGGUGCCCACUAAGGGAAGGAACAGUAUGUGCAUGAAGUGAAGAAGAGGAGCUCGUGGAUCGUAGGAAAACUUUAGACAGAUGUUCCUGCCAUGCUGGAAGGGACACGGGUGUGGUAUGUUUGACAGGUUGUUGUCUCAAGAAAGAAUGAACAGAUGGAUCCUUGCGGUAAAGUUUGUCCAUGAAAGCAGCAGCGCGCGCAUGGGUAAAUCUGUGUUUUGCCCGUUGUACUUGCGCCUUGUAUUGGCGAUGAAGUUGUUGGCAAGCAUGCCAGGCUAGCCCAGAUUUAACUGCGAGAAGAAACUCUUUCUUUCUGGUUGCACAUUCCAGAUCAAACCAAAAGGGUCGUCUAGAAGUUGAACGAGGAAAAGUUGACCUGGAUAUAGUCAUGCCCACUCGAGGGUCACACGCUGUCUGUAUAAUCCAAGAUUUGAGCUCCUACUAUGACGAAUCAACAUCUUGUGCCUGAAUAUGAUGUAAAAAAAAGUUACGUUUCUCGUCAUUGUUACGGAGGAUUUGAGCAAAAAGGGUGGCGCGAUCCGGUCGCCAUCUUAAGAGAAAUUCUUGACAUUGUGAGGGUAAAAGAAAAUUACAUAUGGGUGAUUGAAGUCUCUUAUCUAGAUGCCCUGUUGGACUGGAAGAGGGGACAAAAAAAUUGGAUAGAGCGGCGUGGUCAAAACAUACAGGAUGUGAUUUUAGCACCGUGCAAUAGCGAGAACACCCCUCUACUCACCCAAAGUCCUCUGACCCCUCAGCUGCUGCCCCCCUAGGCAAGUCAACCUCUGCCCGCACUGACCGCUGUGCCCCAUCAGAAACACGCAGGGUCCAGCCCCCGGCAAGCACCAGGCACGACACCCCAGAGCGUCGCCCACCACUCAGGCCCAAGCGCCAACCAUCUUCCUCACCUAGCUCCUCAUCCUCUUCCUCAGGUGGUUCCUCUCGCAGGUCCAGCUCACUUGGGCGUCAAGAACGCAGCAGACACACCCCUCACAAGAAACCUAAACCCUCUGCAACUCCGCCUGCACGCGCGCCUGCCACUGGUCAACCACCGCCCGCAGGCUACCCCACUGCACUCACUCCUAGACCUGUGACAGGGUUUGAACAGACCCCACGGCAACAGCCUCAAGGCUCUGCUGGAUGCCCUGACCAGGAAGAACCACUAGACUACGGCCCUGCGCCUGACCUCCAGGUCACAGCAACUGGCUCUCUAGACUUCUCACAAAGCCAGGAGCAGCCACCCGCUGCACCAGAGCCUCAUCCCACACCCCACGCCACCGCACAGACCCACGCAGGCACAACUCCAACUCAGCCUGGCACAACGCCUGUAGGUCAGACGAACACAGGUACAGCUGGUGCCCAACCCAACAUAGCCACUGCUGACACCGGUCCUGCCUCGACUGCUGGUGCUGGCUUGCCCUUCCCUGUCAACACUGCCCCUGCUCUGCCUCCUGCCGCUGGACCUGGCCAACCAGCUGCUGCCCCUGCUGGCACAACAGUGUUUCCUGGCUCUGCUCCACCGCCCUCCAACGCUGGCCACACCCCACCUCAGUCUGUGGUAUACCCUAUUGAAGCCGCAGCUCAUCUCGUUUCCAACCCGCACAGCCCUGUCCCCUUUGUGCCUCACAGCGUCCACAUCACCAUCCAACCUUCAAACCAGGGUCAGGCGGCAUUGGCACAGUUGCGUGAAGUGCACCAGAAUACGUGUAACUACGUGCAGCAGCAGGUUAACAGCUUGAUGGAUGGGCAGUGCAUCGUAAUUGUGUCAACUGAGUCUACCCAGGUCAGUGGGCUUCUCCAUUAGCUUUAGACACCAUUGACCCUGCAGCUAGACGUCUCUCCGGUAUCAUUAGCACAGGUGUGCAAGGUAAAGCGCAACAGGUGCACUCAUCCCCAAUCAAUCUACCGCCACCUGAGCCCAGUGUUUUCCUGCCAUCUCCAGCACAUAGCGCGCAUCACUCUGCCCCCAACUCCUCUCGUGACAACUUCCUGACCGUCAACACACAGAAAUCUGUUGUGGUGUGUUUUAAUUCACAGGGUCACAAUAUGCCUAAUCUCCUGUACAACAAUGAGGAACUCCCUUUCUCUGAGCAUUUCAAAUAUCUUGGCAUGUUAUGUGACAAGAAGUUCAAUCUGAACAAAGCUGCAGAGGAGGCCAUCAAGCCUUGCAUGGCGAGUAUGACCAGAAUACGUACUUUUAUCCAACAACAUGGUCUCACUCACCGUUUACAUGCGUAUCUUUGGUUAUUCAAAACUUAUGUCAUUCCAGCCGGCAUGUAUGCUUCUCCGAUUUGGGCCACUUCCUAUCUGCAACAGGGUCAAGAGAUGAAGAAUUGUAUUCAAAAGUGGCCCUUGCAAUUUUUACGCACCAUACUAGGGGUCAGGAAUUCUACACCUUCAUGGAGUGUGUUACGGGAAUGUGGCUUGGAACCCAUGCAAUUGAAUUGGCUUCGAGCAUGUGCACGCCUUUACAACAUUCUCAUUUUUUGUAACAGUCCUCUCCUUCGUGAGGUUUUUUAGGCGGACAUUUUACUCAGUCAAUUCCAUCCUGCAUGCUGGGUUUCUCACUUCUUGCUUGGCAUACAAGGGCUCAGGCAUACUCCGUCUUAUCAUCAUCACAUCCUCAAUGGCAGUCCUCUGAAUCUGAGUCAACUUGUUAUAGAUCUUCGGAAGCGUCAUUUGGCAUUUUGGAAGCAACCCUUUUUUACAGCUCAUCAGCCUCGGGAACCUGACACGAACAGUAAAACGUUUACCUACCAUCACUGAUGUGCCCUUCCACAACGUGACGCUCAUGCUACCUUCUCCCCAUGUCGUUUGCCCAAGUACUUCCACUUGGAUCUACCCAGACGUAUUAUACACAGUGUUGCCCGCUUUUGGUUACGUGUCCACCUUUUGAGGAUUGAGCAAAACUACUGGAAUGAAAAUAUUGAUCCUAAGUGCAAUCUGUGUGAUGCUCACGAUGAUGCUCAGGAUGAGCAACAUGUGCUAUUUAAAAGUACUCACCCGCAUGUUUGCAACCUCAGAAGGAAAUGCGCAUCUUUGUUUAAUGGACAUGCCCUUUCCCUCUCAACUCCAGAGUCCCAAGCGGCACCGCUCCUGCAUGCAUCUCACCAUGUCCCACCGCAUGCCAUGCGAUCUUUUUUGAUUCAAAACAAUGAUAAACUUUAUCCUUUCCUGCAUGAAAUAUUACUUCUUUACAGGGUUAGAGGAAAAAAAGGCCUUCAGUCAAAAUGCGCGACUGCUAGCCUGUUCAUAAAAAGCAACAAUUUCAUGAAUAAAAUAGACAAGUUUAUUAUUAACUUGAAGAAGAAGAUUACGUACAUCUUGAGCCUUUUGGUUAUUGAAUAGAAAGGCACACUUAGCACGCAAUGCAACGACAUGAGGGUGAGAACAGUGAAAAAUUGUCAUGCCACAUAAGUGCGGCAUCUGAUUCACCAACUUGGUUUGACUAUCCACUAACAUUCCAGAGGCUGAUCCAGAGCAGGUUAACAGUAUUGAAGAAGUGGGUUUAACGUCCAGAGGCUAGGUAACUCUAGCACAAAGGACAGCUGCCAAAUCCUGAGCAGCUUGACUUACUCUGCCUACCUGAGGCUUGCUUAGCUAAUUUCCUGGCUGGAACCUGACAAACACGAUACGUUACCACACUUUGGGCUGCCACACCAGUCCCCUCCCCAAGGGCUGAUCGGCCUUAGCCGGGCAUACUCACGAUGGCGGUCUUCUCACUUGAUGAGUAAUGAAUACAACCAAAGCCAGAAACACGGAAGUCUUCAAUACUGGCUGUGCCAGUCUCUCAGCCACCAUAAAUAUCAGGUUCAACGACCAACCGCCAAUCUGAAGGUCAGCAGCAAUAUAGCAAUGACAAAAAUCUCGCGUGACAAAAUAACAUGAUUUUCAUCUUGAAUACGAUCUACAUCCUGACACAAAUCACAAUGAGAGGAAGAACCCUGAUUCCAAGUAGAUGUUUCAUACUGAAGAGUAUGGACACGAAGCCUAAAGCGGGAAACAUUGCGAAGAACAUCAUUGUGAAGGGCAAGGUAGAAAUAUUUGGGAAUCUUAGAAGGGGCCUGGGUGGCUACAAUGUUGCGGAUAGGCAGCGCACACCAAUGAUGAUAAGUACGGUGUUUGCUAUUCCGUUGCCUGGGAGUGGGGCCGGAGAACUGAGUCCAAUAUUGGACCUGCCUGGAUCUGAGGUCUACCACAAAUUGUCGAAGGUGAAUUGGUUCACAAUUCAUUAUGUUGAUCUUAAAUUGACUAGCAUGAUGCAAUCCAUCCAUGGCAUUGAUUAUGUGUGAAGACCAGCAGUCACAAGAGGAAGAAAAUAAACAGAUAUCCGCCUGCAAGACCUUUCUGACCGUGAUGAGUGAAAGAAAAGAAAAGAAAAGAAAAACUGCGUAGGCAGAGAAACUCCCCCUACAUCAAUUAAGGAAAAGGAGACACAUUGGCUCCGAAGAGCCGUGAGUCUCCCCCACCACAAGGAAAGAAGGAAAAACAAGUGGGGAUCAGGUGGGUUUCUAGAGGCACAAGGCCCUAGAACCUGGCUGUGGGAAGUAACAUUGUUUGCAAUGGCACGUCUGGUGGUAACAAGUUUGUGAGCGUAAAUAGCGGAAUGGGCAUUCAGGCUACAAGCAAGUUUAGUGGCACGUUCGUGGCUCAGACCAAGCUUUUUGAAUUGAUUGAGGGUUUGCUUGAUGUAACUUGUUCCGCCAACGCCCAGGAGAAUGGGGUGAAUAGUGACACUUUUAGCAUCAAUGAGUUUGCUCAAAUGUGCAUGUUGUUGCUUAUCUUAGCCGCCGCCAAUUUAUGCUCGGGUCUCGUAUCCUCACAGUACUUUAUUUCAAUCAGGUGCACAUGCCUUUGGUUGGGAGCUAGAUGGUGAGGCUGUCUCACUCGGCUGGCCGUGCUGGUCCUCUGCAUGUUCCUGUGCCUGUUACGCAACAUAUAGCGUGAGGGAGAGUCAGAGGAUGAAGAAGGAGAAGAAGAAUUGGGUUUGGCAUUAUAAGGGGUGAUUAAGAUAGCAUCAGGACGGCUGGUAGUGAGUCUAGAUCUCUCCAAAAUGUUUCGAGGAAAUCAGUAAUCAGGUAUAGUUCUGUUUGAAGCAUGAGCAGGAAGUUGAAGAUAAUGCUGUGCUAGCCGUUCAUGUUUUCCUACAUCUGUAUAAAUCAAGCCUGCUCCACGAGGGCUUUUGCUAAGAGCUUUUAUGAUCAUUCUGCCAUUAUGACGUUCAGUUUUCAUGUUAGAGAUGAUAUGAUUUUGGCAACCAGAGAGCAUGUGGAGAGCGCUAUCUAGUUGUUGACAGCCUGGGAAAGGGCAAAGAGGGUCAGUGGAUCGUUUAAAGCGCACGGCAUGUUUUUGAUUAUAGAGGGUGCCAGUACGAUAUUGAAAAAUGGUGCGCUUUACAGAAAAAAAAAAAGAAAAGAAAAGGCUACGCAGUCUUGAGGCCGCGUGCAUUAAGGGAAGAAACCCUAACAAAAGUUAGAGGCCUCACCAAGAGGCCCUACAGGAAAGGAUAUUCCAGGCAUGGUCCUGAAGGCAUUACUGAUCUUCUUUUCAACUUGGGGUAGCAAACUUUGAUAGUAAGGGUAGUAACCUAUUUUGGUAUUGGCAUAUCCAAGCUUGUGUUUAGAGUGCAUGUGUAGCUGGAGUGCAGCGUGGAGGUUGGAAAGGUAUGUGAGUUUUGAAGUGUGUACAGGGGCUAUGGAAGUGCUCGCGGCAUGUUCCCUUGUUUCCUCCUUGGCUAACCAAAAAAUUCGUGAGAAAGGGUUUCCGGCAGGGCCUGCACAGGGGAUUUCAGUAUCCGCCACACUGUUGUUUGCUUUGUCAGCCUGAUACUUUGCUAUAGCAUCUGCACAUUCAUUCCCGGAAAUGCCUGCAUGGGCUUUUACUUUGCGAACAUAAAUUUUGACAUGAGAGUUCUUAAUAAGAGUUAAUAUAAUUCUGAGGAUAUCUCCUUGGAUGUGCUCCCUGUGCUUCUCAGGAUACAAAAUUUGUUUGCCUAUUUGACAAGAAGAAAUGAGGCUGUCUGUUCCAAUGUGUGCAUGGCAGUGGGUGAUGGCAGCAGUAACACCUGCUAAUUCUGCUCGGGGUACGUUGUUUGUGAUUCCAGCACCAUUUGGCUCUACAAGGAUUUUGCUGUCAGACAGGGGAUGGUACACGCCUACCCCUAUUCCUUGCUUUCCAUUUCGGGAAUGACAGCUGCCAUCAGUGUACGCCCAUGUCCUCCAGUCUGGGACUUUGAGGGCAAGGUUGGGGUUCAGCAUACAAGCCGCCCUGUUCAGCAUACAAGCCGCCCUGAUGCUCUAUUUGUGCGGCACAUCCCAGGCAGGCAAGCCCAACUUGAUCCUACCAAGAUUCCACCGCAAGAUAGAGACAUUGACCUUGUUGAACUUAAAUUCUGCUCUGACACUAAUCCUGCCAGCGCCUUGGAGCGUGCACAAACUCAACAUUCCCACACCAUUAGCAGACUUAAAACACGCAGCUUAAGAAACGCAAACAGGAAUAAUAAAGUAACUUUGCACACCAUCUUAAUUGGUGUUGGUCAGGGAAGUUCAGGGGGGUCUGAGAAAUUUCGGGUCCACCCGAAGGCCUGUUUAAAAAUUUUCGGGUCUACCCGACCUGCCUUUCAAGACCUUCGGGUUUAGGUGCUAAAAAAAAAAACCGGCCGGGGGCUGACGCCCCCGGCCGGGUGAGUGCGAUGUGGAGUACUAAUUUAUUUGAGCCUACCUUCUUUCACCAUUACCUUCCCUUUACCGCCAGCGCCGUACCCCUGAGCAUGGGCGACCCCGGGAAUUUCCGGUAUUCUCAUUCGGACUUGCGUCGACCUCUCAGGAGGUCGGGGGUUCGAGCCGCUUAGAUGCCCUCGAAGGCAUAAACAGCGGAAACACUUCCUUCCUUCCUUCCUUCCAUUACCUUUCAAAGAAGAUCUUGUAUACCCAUACAAAUUAUUUCCAAAUUUCUUCAUCCCAAAAUUCCUUCUUGUUUACCCAUACAACUUAUUUCCAAAUUUCUUCAUCCCAAAAUUUCCUCCUUUUCAUAUACCCACCAUUUUCUUUUAACACAGGAGGGGAAUUUUGAUUUCAAUCCAUGGGAAUUUUUUUGGACUGCUGCAUGGCAGCUGCAUGUCAUAGGAGGGGGCUGCAGUUUGCUGCAUCACAUGUGUUACAAUUGCCAAAAAAUGGAGGGUGUAAUGAAUGCAAAAAAAAAAACAAAGGUGUCCACAUUUACAGAUCGUCCAACUCGGUUGCUGCCGCAUUCACACCCAAGUCCAUCAUGCUCCCCUCCUCAUUCAGAUUGCUGAGGCCAAAGCAAUCCGUUCCAUCAUCAACUUCUCCAUCCUCCUCCUCCCCUUCACUCAUCCAUGCUCCCACAUCAUCUUCUUCCUCAAUCUCAUCUUCCUUGGACAUAUCUAGAUCUGGCUCUACACCUUCAUCUACUCCAUCAGCCAGCAAGCCCAAUUCAAUAUCAUCAAUUCUCUUAAACAGAUCCCGCAAUUUCAUAUCCUCCCUUGAGCCAACAGGGACGUAAUUAUGUAUUCUGGCAGCAGCUGCAAAAUCAAAUGAUUGCAAAGGUUGCCCCAGGGUGAGCAACUUGAUGCGCAACAAAGAAUCAAGCGUCAUGAUUUUCAGACGAUUAGUCAACCUGUUUUUCAAGAUGCGGUGCAAACUGAAGCCACGCUCAACAACAGCAGUUUGCACAGGUGUUAAGAACAUUAUGUUAGCAAAAAUAAUCAUUUUUGAAUACACUACUGCAUCAGGGCUAUUCCGCAACAUGCCCCACACUGCCACCGGAUCAACAAUUUUAUAUGUAUUCACCAAUGUAUGCAUUGCUUGCUUCAUGACCAUAAAUUCAUGUGCAAUGCUAGCCCCAUUAAAAUCAAACAAUUUCUGUGAACCCCUCUCUUUGCCACAGAAGUGCGCGAGCAAGACUUUAAAGCUCUCCCAGCCAAACUUCUCUAGGCUCUCAACAGGCAUAUUCAAGUAAAAACUGGGAAUAAAAAUAUGAAAGUGCCCCAGCAAAGCGCAGCUCUCAAACCGCUCUUUAAACUUUUGUACAAUAAACUUGGCUAAAUUCCUCAUCUCCCUCUGCAAAACAAGCAAACUGCACUUCCUCAUUUUAAAUUUGAAUUGAGGGCUUGGAAUCCACCAGCCAUCCUUUUUCACUCCCGCACAAAAGGCUUUAAAACGGACCAAAUGUACACUUUUUAAAUCCUCUGCAGAAACAAACAUUUGUUCAAGCUGCUGCACUGUUCUGUUUACAUGAUGUACAACUUCAUGAGGCAGAAUACUGUCUGACUGAAGCUCUUUGCACAGAAUAACAACAGGUUGCAACAUAUCUAAGACCAAGAACAAGGUACUCACUGCCUUUAAGCUCAGCAACCUCUUUUUCACCCUUACAGCGACAGGCCAAGAGCGGGGAUUAUUUGUUGCAGACUGAUCAUUAUACUGACUCAGGAAUGCAAGCAGAACUGGCAGGUUGGAACACAAGACAUCCAAGCACUCUGCUCGGCUGAGCCAGCGCGUAGGCACAUACAACGGAAACUUCAAGCGUUGCACACCUCUUGCCUUGGCAAAAUCUUCCCAUUCUUGCUGACGCUUAUGGCUUUUACUAAAUAAAUUGUGCACAGCCUUCAACAAGCUGUCCACAAGCUGCAGACAUUCAUUUUCUUUCCCGGCAUCAUUCAUGACUAGCGCAGUCCUGUGUGCUGUACAGUGAACACCAACUAUAUACGGGCACAGCUUUUCCCUCAACUGCUGCUGCACACCAGUGUGCAGCCCCAUGUAAUUAGAUGCACCAUCCGUACACAUUGAAAUAAGCUUUUGCUUAUCUAUACCCAAGGCCUCAAGAAUGCCAAGCAAAACGCUGUAAUGGUGACUUGCAUCGUCUGCUUUUGCGCUGACGCAGCACAGAAAUACAGUGACAAAAGCAAACGUGCUAGCAUCCAGAAACCUGAUAUACACCAUGAUGUGGUUCUGCGUGCUUAUAUCAGUCCCUCCAUCACAAAGCAAAGCAUAAAAAGGACUUACAUUAAUUCUUGCAAUUGUGGCGCUUAAUAAGACUUCGCUACAAGCAUACAUAGAAGACCAGAAGUACCUACGAUGGUUGUAUUUGUGCAAAAUUUUACUUGUGCAUGCCAGGGAAAGGAGCUGCAAAAGAGAUGCAAACUUCUGCCCAGGAACACCCUCUUUAAUGAGCCACAAGGCAGCCAUGAGCAUCGUAGGAAGCACACUGAGCACGGUAGACUGUUGCUUGUCAUGCAUUUUUUGCAAGCCACCACCGAUGCUGCCUACCCCACCAGCACUUGCAAUUGCGGUAUUCUUGGCUUGUAUGUGUCCAGCGGAGGACUCAUGGUCUCUCAGGACACCCGCAUCUCCAAUCACAGCACCAUGGCCACCAUCAACUUUCCCAGCAAACUUGGAUGCAGACUUGCUAUGCUCACGACAUAUGGUGCACACGCCUUUUGGAUGGCCAUACUCAGACUUUUUGCCCGUAUAUUGUAGCCAGGGAUAUGACUUCUGCCACUCUUUCUCCUUGUUGUCCCUGGCUUUCCUGUCCUUCUCCGCCUUAUCCUUCAGAACUUGCUCUUCUUGCUUCCUUUUCUUCUCCCUCUGCUCCUCUUUCCACUACUCUUUGGACUCUUCUGCAGGAGAAAGGGAGGCCCCCAGUGGUCAGUGCAAGUUGCAUGCAAUUUCAAGCUGCUGCAGCACCAACUUUGGCUGGGAAUUGUGCAGUUCAGCAACUGGUCCUCACCAGUCUCAGUGACCUCGCAGCGGACAAGCCCCAGAGUGAGGGGAAUGAUGACGAGGGAGACGAGCUUGGUGAGCGUGGAGCGCUGCCGCUUGCUGCCGGUCUGCUUGCUGCCCGAUGCUGAGGCUCCAGCGGGAGCGGGAGCAGGCGGGAGGUCCACGUACGGCUCAAGCCUGAGGGGGACAGGGUUGGGGCCAGCCCCCUCGGGCCACGAACGCUCACCAGACGCCCCUCUGAGUGCCAGCCUCGCUUCCUCCCAGGUGUGGUCAGAGUUCAGCAAAUCCUGCAAUGUCUCCCUGAACUCAGGGUCUGGGUGCUGCUCCAUCCACUCAUUGGACCAGGCCUCAGGGGGAGUGUUGGCUGGCUGAGAGGGGGGCUGAGGAGGAGGGGUGGGCUGUGGGGCCUGGGAUGCCCCUGCCUGCAGGGGAGCCCCUGCAUGGGACGGAUUUGUGGCCUUCAGAGCAUGGCACUCUGACCCAUGCAUGCUGUUGAUGCAUGCUGACCCAAAUGAGGAUUGAUGCCUGCCAGCAACUCAUGACUUACAAAGGGAAGCAAUUGUAGUCUGUGACGUGGGCGGGGGAGGAGGCUCUGGAAGGCUGGGCAUGGGGCCUCUGCCCCGCCCUCCCCGUCUCCCUCCUCUCCUAGCCAUGGCUGCUGAUGACCCUGGCUGAUUCUGCCUACGUUGAAAAAUGCACCCAAAGUACAAAUUAUAAUGUUCGGGAAAGAAAGAAAGAAAAGAAAAAGAAAAAGAAAAGAAAAACUGCGUAGACGGAGAAACUCCCCCUACAUCAGUUAAGGAAAAGGAGGCACAUUGGCUCCGAAUAAUGUUCGGGUCCUACCCAAACGGGACCUGGCAUUUUCAAGGAAAUUUUGGGUUUGACCCGAGCGGAUUUGGCCUGCGCCUCGGGCGCAGGCCAAAUCCUUCAAUUAUUUUCGGGUAACCCGAGGGUUUGAACUUCUUUGGUGUUGGUGGCACAAUUUACAACAACUUCACUAUUGCACCUCUUAUAAAUCUGGGCCUGACCAAACAAAAAGCUGAAUCACUAGCUUCCCAACUCAGAGACCAUGCCAUCCAAAGAUUAUCCACCAUCAUUAACACAAGACAUGCACUUUGUUUUCAGGGAGCAUCUGGGAGGGGAGGGUUUGCUGGGCGCGCGGCUGUGGCUGAGGAUGGAAGAAGGAGUGUCCGAGCGCUCAGGGGCAUGGCGGCCAAUCCCCCGGAUCCCCAUUAGUUCUGUUUCUUGCUCUCUCCUAGGCUAGGUUCGUCUAGUUUAGGUGGAGGGACUCUUGGUGAGGCCUCUAGCUUUUGCUAGGGGUUCUUCCCUUAAUGCACGCGGCCUCGGGACUGCGUAGACUUUUCUUUUCUUUUCUUUUCUUUUCUUUUGGGGUUGGAUUGGUGAGGCAUAGAGACUACUUCAAGAUUGUCUGUGGAUGCAUUGUUAAAAGCUGUGGAAAUUUGCUGCUUGUCAGAAGGCAGGCAUCACAGCAUGCAUGGCUUUGAGAAUGUCAUGGCUACUGACACUGCGCAGUUUCCAAUUGGCUCUAGGCAUAUACUUACUGAUGUCACUGGCAAGGUUUUGCAGCCAAGCUGGGUUAUGGCUGUUAAGAUGGAUCCUUGCAGCAGGGUUCCAAAACGCAAUAAUUUGUAUAUCCAAGCUGUGCUGAGGAAGAGGUAUUUCUUGAUUCGGGCAUGAUUGAGGGGCUUUGUAAACAAGGUUGGUCUUCAUCUACUUAUUCGGAAAGCGCGUGUUCCAGAUGCUUGGAAGGAAGCUAAACUCACCCCAAUCCACAAGAAAGGCCCCGUUGUUUCUCCAACUAAUUAUAAGAUGAUACCUGUGAGCGCUCCUAUCUACCGGUUGUACACCAAUGUCCUGAGAUCCAUUAUUCAAGAUUGGUGUAUCCACCACAGGAAAAUUCCUGAUACACAAUAUGGAUUUUAUCCAGGAAGAAGUACCCUUCAACCAAUCUUCAUCCUACAACACCUGAAAAACGCAGCCCAAAAAGCUCGGAGUGAUACCUCCAGAUUGUUUACAGCAUUCAUUGAUUUUCAGCAAGCGUACGACUCUGUUCCUUGGGAAAAGCUGCGGAAACAUUUGUAUCAUUGUCGUCUACCUCAACAACUCAUUGCUAUUCUCCAGGAUCUGUAUCACAUGGAUGUAUAUACUCUGCUUGAUGGUGACAAAAUGGCUAGUGUUCAGCCAGUGUGUGGGGUUAAACAAGGAUGUCCUCUAUCCCCUCUUCUUUUCGCAAUUUAUCUCAACGAUAUUGAUACUGUUGCAGAGGGUGUACAAGGUGCUCUGACAGCCAUCCCAAAUUUAACGGUGACCCAUUUACUUUUUGCUGAUGAUCUGGCUUUUACAGCAAACAGGCAACCAAGUUUACAAAAGCUUCUAAACAACCUGAAAGACUACGCCAUGAGGAAAUCUUUGGUUGUUAAUACGUAGAAAUCCCAAGUGAUGUGUGUAAAUUCCAGGUCUGACAAUCUGCCGACUUUUUUCUAUGAUGGGUCACCCUUAACUUACACUGACCAUUUCAAAUAUCUAGGGAUGGUGAUUGAUAAGCAAUUUCAUCUUUCAACAGCAGCAGACGCAGCCUUACAGCCUCUGGUGAAUGAGACUUUCAAAAUACAGCGCUUUGCUCAGGAGCACGGUCUAACCAACCGACUUCAUGCUCUCAUUUGGUUACUUAAGACUUAUUCCAUUCCUGCUGGUAUGUAUGCAAGUCAGAUUUGGGCAACCCCCUUCCUUAAGCAAGGUAAAGAAAUGGACAACCCAUUACAAAAAUGGAUUAUUGCAACACUUAAAAGGUGGCUGGGUGUCAGAGAUACAACUCCUUCUUGGUCUGUGCUGCGAGAGUGUGGGCUUGAACCGCUACAACUCAAUUGGUUCCGAGCAGCUAUUCGUCUGUACAACUCGUUUACACAAUGCAAUAGCAUCACGGUCAGAAAGGUCUUACAGGCGGAUAUCUGCUUAUCUUCUUCCUCUUGUGACUGCUGGUCUUCACACACAAUUAAUGCCAUGGAUGGAUUGCAUCAUGCUAGUCAAUUCAAGCUCAGCAUAAUGAAUUGUGAACCAAUCCACCUUCGACAAUUUGUGGUUGACCUCAGAUCCAGACAGGUUCAUUAUUGGGCUCAAUUCUCCGGCCCCACUCCCAGACAACGGAAUAGCAAACACCGUACUUAUCAUCAUUGGUGUGCGCUGCCUAUCCGCAACAUUGUAGCCACCCAGGCCCCUUAUCAAACUCCCAAAUAUUUCUACAUUGCCCUUCCCAAUGAUGUUCUUCGAAAUGUUGCCCGCUUUAGGCUUUGGGUCCAUACUCUUCGGUAUGAAACAUCUACUUGGAAUCAGGGUUCUUCUUCUCAUUGUGAUUUUUGUCAGGAUGUAAAUUGUAUCCAGGAUGAAAAACAUGUUAUUUUUCACUGUACUCACCCCCAUGUCGUUGCACUGCGUGCUAAGUAUGCCUUUCUAUUCAAUAACCAGGAGGCUCAAGAUGUUCGUAAUUUUAUUCUUCAAGAUAAUAAUAAACUUGUCUAUUUUAUCCAUGAAAUUGUUACUUUUUAUGAACAGGCUAGCAGUCGUGCGUUUUGACUGAAGGCCUUUUUCUUUCCUGUAACCCUGUAACCCUGUAAACAAGGUUGGUCUUCGGGAUGGUGCCAAUUUCAUAGCAUAUGUGGGGAAAUGCAGAAAUGAGUUUAAAGCAGGGGUUCAUUAUCAUUUGUUUUCCCCAAACAGGAAGGAACAUGAAGGUAGCAGUGGCCUCUGUGUUGUGAAUGGCAGAAUAAAUGGCAUGUCGCAAGGUUUGUGUCAUAGUACCCUCAUUAUAGAUGGGAUGGCAAGCAGAGAAGCCUGAAAACCUGGAUGAAAGAGAAUUAUGGAGGGCACCAAAGACAGCGUGUCGAGAGUCAGCACUCCAGUAGUGUUGGUAAUGUGGGUCGUGGUCUAAAGGGGAGGCCAUCUUUUCUUGAGUUACUAAGGCCCAUUUUUGGAGUGCUGAAUAGAUGUCUGCAGGUAGGGCCCGUGAGAAGGAGUCUUUGAUCUUUUUGCUAGAGUAUUUGUUUUCAAGUAGUGUUUUGCGGGAGAGAAGGCCUUGCAGCUCAGAUGCAAAGCUGGCAGGAGCUGGCUUCAUUUUGUCGUGCAUGCCAUGAAGCUUGGCUCUAUAAAAUGCCCUGUAGAGGAUAAAGGAACGGUUAGGGGAUAUCAUCCCAACGCAUUUACCUUGUGUGUUAUAAAUGCAAGCCAUGUGCGUCCUGUAGACCUCCGGGAGAAUUAGUGUAGGAGAACGGACGGAGGGAUUGGGUGUGUGGACCAGUGUCAGGUGGCGCUUCAGCAGGAGCUUGCUCAUCUUUGUAUUUCACAAGGCCAAUUUCAUGCAGCCAAAAUUCGCAGGAACCAGUUGACUUUAUGUCUGCUUGAGGAUUAGUGGGGUUUAGAUCAAAGAUGACUUUGUUGCGCAGUUCAGUGUCUAAUUUUUGCUUCCAUACAUUUGAACUGUCAAGUUUCUCAAAGCCUUGUCUUUCUAGAUUAGAUAGGUCAGAAUCUGCGGUGGGUAAGGAGAGGUCAGGUUCACUUUCCCUGGCUUGAAAUUCAAGGAGACGAGUGUGGAAUUCAGGCCAAAGGUCUUUGGUCUCUUCUGGUUCCCAGGUGGGCUUCCAGGUGACCCUCCAUAGUUCAUGUUUGGACUGUUGUUCCCUGUCAGCUUUUUCCCUGUCAGCCGCGGGAACCUGAGACGAACAGUAAAACGUUCACUUACCAUCAUUGGUGUGCCCUUCCACAACGUGACGCUCAUGCUACCUUCUCUCCGUGUCGUCUACCCAAGUACUUCCAUUUGGAUCUACCCACACAUAUUUUACGCAGUGUUGCCCGCUUUCGGUUACGUGUUCAUCUCUUGAGGAUUGAGCUAAACUACUGGAAUGAAGAGAUUGAUCCUAAGUGCGAUCUGUGUGAUGCUCACGAUGACGCUCAGGAUGAACAACAUGUGCUAUUUUAGUGCACUCAUCCUCACGUUUGCAACCUUAGAAGGAAAUAUGCAUCUUUGUUCAAUGGGCAUGCCCUUUCCCUCUCAACUCCAGUGUCCCAAGCGGCACCGUUCCUGCAUGCAUCUCACCAUGUCCCACCACAUGCCAUGCGUUCUUUUUUGAAUCAAAACAAUAAUAAACUUUAUCCUUUCCUGCAUGAACUCCUACUUUUUUAUGAACAGGCUAGCAGUCAGUCGGUUUGACUGGAGGCCUUUUUCCUCUGUAACUGUAAAUGUAACUGUAACUGUCAGCUUUUUGAUCGUGAUUCAAUUCUGUAACAGGCGGGGCAGGCCCACUGGUGAGCAUCAUCAAUUUCUUGUCUUUGGUCAUCAGUAUAACAACCAAGAUCUUUCAUUUCCAAUGAUAUGUACGAUGGCAAGUAUCAAAGAAAAAAAGAAAAGCCUACGCAGUCCCGAGGCCGCGUGCAUUAAGGGAAGGACCCCUAACAAAAGUCAGAGGCCUCACCAAGAGGCCCUCCACCUAAACUAGACAAAACUAGGAGAGAGCCAGAAGCAGAACUAAUGGGGAUCCGGAGGAUUGGCCGCCAUGCCCCUAAGCGCUCGGACUCUCCUUCUUCCAUCCUCAGCCGUUGCCGCACGCCCAGCAAACCCUCCCCUGCCAGAUACUCCCUGAAAACAAAGUGCAUGUCUAGUGUUAAUGAUGGUGGAUAGUCUUUGGAUGGCAUGGUCCCUGAGUUGGGAAGCUAGCAAUUCAGAUUUUUGUUUGGUCAGGCCCAGAUUUAUUAGAGGUGUAAUUGUAUAUUUGUUAUAAAUCGUGACACCAACACCAAUUAGAAUGAUGUGCAGUGUCACUUUAUUAUUCCUGUUUGGGUUUCUUAAGCUGCGUGUUUUAAGUCUGGUAAUGAUGUGCAAAUGUUGAGAUUGUGCACGCUCCAAGGUGCUGACAGGAUUAGUGUCGGAGCAGAAUUUAAGUUCAACAAGGUGAAUGCCUCUAUCUUGUGGUGGGAUCUUUGUAGGAUCAAGGUGGGCUUUUCUGCCUGGGAUGUGUCGCACAAAUAGAGCAUCAGGGCGGCUUGUAUGCUAUACAGGUGAGGCAGCGCCAUUUGUGAAAACCCAGUCUGGAAUAGCGCGAGAGGUGUCUUCAGGGACUUGUAUGCCUUGAUCCAGAAGUCUGUCAUGGUUGCAGCCAUCCAUGCUAAUGAGGGAUGAGCCAAAACGGCCUUUGCCGAGGGCUUUUAUAAUAAGAGUAAGGGCUGCGUGGUGUCUGUUUGUGUGCAUCCCACUCAUUGUUGGGUUGGUACACCUGAGCAGAGCAUGAUAAAUGUUAUCGGUACUUGCACAGAGAGGGCAGCUAUCAGAAUUGGAAAAGUUAAAGCGAGAGGCAUGGCCCUGCGUGUACAGUGUAUCCGUUCGAUAUUUCAUGAGGUUUGUUUGUUGUUUAAGGGUAAUCUUUGGAUUUUUCCAGAAGGAGUUGCUGAUUUCCUUGUUUGCAAGCUGAGGGAUUGGGUUGUGAGCUUCAUUGUUUGUGUUGUUGGUGGAUGGUGUGGCAUCGUUAAGCUUCUGCCAUCUCUGGUAGUGGUAGCCAGAGGUGUCAGCGCAGCCUAGUCUGUGUUUUUUGUGCAUGUGUGUUUUAAGUUUGUUGCUUAUGUUGGUGAGAUAUUGUAUCGGAGAGGUGUGGGAGCGGCGCCUGUCAUUAUUUUGUGUGAAAGGCUUUAGUGAAAGCCAAUAGAAGUUGUGGAAAGGGACCCUGGCAUCAGGAAGUGUGAUGUCUACUGUGUCAGAUAGGGCUGCGGUGCAGGCGCAAGCGUCAGCCCCCUCGUUUCCUAUGAUGCCCAAGUGGGCUUUGACUUUAUAAAAAUGGAUAGGGUGAGGGGAGUGCUCUAUUAUGGUGAAUAUUGCAUGUAUCAACUCUGCAUGUAGGUGAUAUCUCAUGCGCAUGGGAUGAAGGGUUUGAUUUGAAAUUUGAAAAAUGCAGGAUGCACUAUCAGUGGCAAUUUUGGUUUGCUCGUGUUGGAGCGCCACCAGGAUACCCACGAGUUCUGCUCUUGUGAUAGUAUUGGUAGGCCCAUGGCCGUUGGGUUUUAUGUGCAGUUUUAAGUGUUGCGGGGGUUGCGUAGUGUCUAAACCUGGUUUGUAAACACCUGAACCUGAGAGUGGAGGGGAAUUGUCAUCUUUUUGUUUGAUUAGACUGCCAUCAGUGUAGGUCAUUUCCCUCCAAUCCCUGAUUUUGGGUGUGAAUGACUUUCUGUACUUGGCAGGGGUGAAUGCUGCCCUUUCUUGAGGGCACUUGUGCGAGCAGUUGUGGGUGUCAGGGGGGAGUGAUUGGAAUUUCUGCUUCCAAGUGUUUGAAGCAAGGUGUUGGUGUGUACGCAGUUGUGUAGUUGGAUUUGGAGUAUCGAGGGGUAGCCAACUAGCUUCUGCUGCAGCUUGUCCUACAUCUUGCUGGAGAGACUUGAACCAGUCUUUGUUUGCACUGUCUAGCAUAACUCUGGCAUUACGGUUCCACACGACAAUGAGUUGUACAGGAUAGGAAGGUUGGGUAGGGCUGUGUAUGGUAUCAAACCAGUGUUGUGGUGCUUGGAAGUGGAUUUUUUUUGCAGGAAAUUUGGCAAGUACUUUUGCAACGUCUGGGUAUUGUCUGAGCCAGCUCAUAUACGAAUUGCAGCUAAGCCUCUCCAGUGAGGGAGGAGCAUGAAGGUGGCAACUGGAUCUGUGCUUUAAAGGGAGGAAUGCACUGCAUGGCGCAUGUUACUUCAACAUCAUGGGGUGGAUGGCAAAAGGAGAAGCCGGUGAAGCGCACUGAGAGAGCGUCUGUGUGGGCUCCAAAGACUUGGUCUCGAUCAUUUGUACUGAAAUAGGUGUUGUAGGUAUUUUCAAAAUCAAGGGGGCUGGAAUACCUCUCUACUGAGACCAUGCAAAAAGUAAAAGUAAAAGUCUACGCUGGAAACUAACCAGCGUGCAUUAAGGAAAGUACCCAACAAUCAGCGAUGUAGCUUGAAAGAGGGCCCCACCAGUUGUUCAGACCAAGAGAAAGACCACAACACACAUGUCUCCAGCAAGUUCACCCUCCACCCAAGGCAAACAAGACACUCAUGUCAGGGGCCUUGUCCAGCAAACUCAGAGGUUCACCCCAUAGCCUCAGAGAAAGCAGUCCAACAUCUCAGCAGGGCCCCCCCAGCUAGGGGCCGAGCCUUAAAGAAGGCUGGAGGUGAGGCACGCAAUCAUGCAGGCCCAAACUGAGACACUCCACCUCUAUCCGCUGUCCUCCGUGUGAACUUCCGGGACCCUUCUGCGCCGUGAACCUUCCUCCUGGCGCCCGUGCACGCGCCCACGCCACGAGCCAGCUCCAACGCUGCUGCUAGGUCCACCUGCCAGCGUGGGGGUUUGCCGGUGCAUCGCGCACGCAGAGCGUGGGAUGCAGAGCGUUGCCUGGGGAGGCGACCACGAGGAGGUACCCCACGCUGGAUUUCCGUGCCCCCCCCAUGAGACCAUGCACCAUUUUUGCAGGGCAGGUAUCACAAAUUUACAUAUCAUGGAACGAAGGCUCGUUGUCAGAUUCAUGGCCAUAAUGGUAAUUACAGAUUUGGCAGCAGGCACAUUCAACGUCAGUGCGGGCAGCAGGUAAUUUGGUGUCAAUCAGGAAGCCAGCAUCUAUAAAGAAGGGCAAGGCCCAUUUUUCAAUUAUCAUAGUGAUAUUGUACUUGAUUACGAAUAAUAGAGUUUCCCUCAUGGUCUGUCUCCUUUUCUGUGCCAAUUUUCCACCCAUCUAUAUGUGUUAUGCUAAGAUCACUGUGGUAGACUUCAUUGAAAGCAUGGUGAAUCCCUUUUUUAGACGCAAGUUUCUGGACUGUUGAUCUCCUAUAGUUCCAGACCCGCGAGGUUCGGGUAAGUGGAUUGAGAGAUUGAAUGGCAGAGCACGUAAAUUCUGCUUCUCUGUGAUGCAAGAUUCCCCUGUUAUUCUUGUGGUUCUUAGCUUGAGUGGCUAGGCUGGUUGUAUUGUGUGUGUUAGCUGAGAAGCUAGGAGUAUUGCCUGUUUGAUGGCUGUCUGGUUUGUUAAGGGAGCUGGUCUGAGAAAAGGGCCAGUUUGCAGCGUUUGUGUUGGCAUUUGCCCUUGUAUUGUCUUGGCUUCGAGGUGUAGAUGAGGGGAUAUUUCUUAGUGUUGAGCGUGUGCGUUUGCUGGGAGGCCCCCCUGCAGGUGAGUCUUGCACAGUGGGCGUCAUGGCAGCAGAAGCAGCAGUGGAUUCAUGGGUAGGUGUAUGGAUAAUUUGGGGGGCAAUGCUCAGUCUAUAAUUGGAGCGGGUUCUUUUGCUUACUGGUUCAUCUGUGGUAUUUGUUGUUGCUUGUGUGUUGGGACAAUUUCCUUGUGUGGGAUGGCCGAUUGUGCGUCUGAGGCGACGCCCAGUCAGUGCAUGUCUGUAGUGAUCUGUGGAGCGAGGUUGUGGUGGUGGCACUACCUGUGUGGAGGGUAUGUUCUGGUUUGGGAGCCUGCUCCAGGAAGAAUUUGUGUGGGUUGGGUUUGUUCCCUAGUGAGGUGUGUAUUAACAAGGCCGCCUAAGUGUGUAUUGUUGAUGCGGCGAUAAUGCGCAAGUGUGUUUAUUUCUGUGUUUUUAGAAGCAAUGACCUUUUGGAUAGUGGAUGUACACAAAUCUUGUUCCGGGGCCAUGUUGACCAGAGCUGCAAGUCUGUUGAGUGCUAUUAUACACUUUGCGUUAAACGUAGAGUAUUUGGCCUGGAGCUGAGCAACUGUUAUGAUACGGGUAUUGCAUGGGCUGGUGAGUUCGUGGAUUCCAUUGAUUCCAAGGCUCAUGAGGGGUUGCAUUAUGCAGGUCAUCAUGACCUCAUGAUGGGGGAGGUGAGGUUGUGAGGGGGAGGUUUAUGCAGGGAGAGUGCUUUGUAAAUAGGGAGAAGAUCAUCUUUGAAGACAUCAUUUUUCAUGAGGUGGAGUUUACUCGUAUGGAUGCUAAUCAGCUGGCGCACGCACAUGCAGUAAUUGAGCUGUCGUUUAAUGUGCAGAUUAGUCCCUUCUCGUUUGAUAAGAAAUGUAGUGGAUAGUGCUUUAAUGUUUGACAUUUGUUUAGUAAGGAGGUUAAGACUGAUAGUACGGUGUCUGAUAGAGGGGUCUUCUAGGCUGGAAGUGAGAGCAAAGGCAAGACCGUGAUGCUAUUGCGUUGUGUAAACGAGUUAUACAGGCGAAUAGCUGCUCGGAACCAAUUAAACUGCAACGGUUCAAGCCCACACUCUCGGAGCACAGACCAAGAAGGAGUUGUAUCUCUGACACCCAGCCAUCUUUUAAGUAUCGCAAUAAUCCAUUUUUGUAAUGGGUUGUCCAUUUCUUUACCUUGCUCAAGGAAGGGGGUUGCCCAAAUCUGACUUGCAUACAUACCAGCAGGAAUGGAAUACGUCUUAAGUAACCAAAUGAGAGCAUGAAGUCGGUUGAUUAGACCGAGCUCCUGAGCAAAGCGUUGUAAUUUGAAAGUCCCAUUCACAAGAGGCUGUAAGGCUGCAUCUGCUGCUACAGAAAGAUGAAAUUGCUUAUCAAUCACCAUCCCGAGAUAUUUGAAAUGGUCAGUGUAAGGUAAGGGUGACCCAUCAUAGAAAAAAGUCGGCAGAUUGUCAGACCUGGAAUUUACACACAUCACUUGGGAUUUCUGCGUAUUAACAACCAAAGAUGUCUUCAUGGCAUAGUCUUUCAAGUUGUCUAGAAGUUUUUGUAAACUUGGUUGCCUGUUUGCUGUAAAAGCCAGUUCAUCAGCAAAAAGUAUGUGUGUCACCGUUAAAUUUGGGAUGGCUGUCAGAGCACCUUGUACACCCUCCUCUUAGAACCCAAACUCCUGGCGUAAAAAAUUCCAGCUUCUCCUUCCUGACAAUAUCAAUGUCACAGACAACCCUGCACACAACAGCAACAUCACAUAACAUAACAAACAUGUGUAUAAGCGGCCCUUACAACCUAAAUUUUAUGACUGGCGACAAGUGACAUACACAGAUGGGAGUUUCUCCUCCACCAAAGAUAAUAGCACAAACCACUCAGGCGCAUCCUUCAUUACCCCCCAAGCCAACACAAACUCUAACACCAUCAGUUGCAAAAUAAAUCCAAACGGCCAUGGACCAACAAAUACCGUAACCCGCGCAGAAUUGGCAGCCAUCUAUGUAGCUCUAAAGCAUCGACGAACGCAUAUUGCAACUGACAGCGCUGCUGCACUCAAUGAGAUUCGGAACAUGCUUAUGAAGCCUCUGGUUAUGACUUACCACCUACACUCAGACCUACUUACAGAAAUUGUAGCUCUUAUAGAUGCAGCAGACACUCCCAUCCACUUUAGCAAAGUUAAAUCACAUUCUGGCAUUAUUGGGAAUGAAAGCGCUGAUGCACUGGCCUUCCAAGCAGCAGAAGCGCCAGCCAGCUCUGAUGUUACACUCAACAACACAAAAGACCCUUUCUUUGAUGUGUACUGGCUGGCUACUCCCUUUAAAAAACCUGGCUCUCGGACAGAAGAGCUCUGGAGCCUUCCAAAUUUACGUGACAAAUUAAAACAAAUCAUGCAUUCCAACACCGACUCAGAAGUGCCAAUACCAAUACAUAUAGCUACACUAACUGGCAAGAUCUCCUGCACUCUGCCCAUGGCCAGCCCGUAGCCAACCCUAAAUUAAGUAAUGCUUUCUGGCACCUGAAGGCUGUCACUCUUAAAGAACAAAUUAACGUUCUCAAGUACAGAACAGACACCCUAUACAACGAGAAACAUGCCCUACACUUUAGUGGCCAACAUGGUCCUGCCUAUUGCCCCUAUGUGGCAAUCAAGACAGCAUCUCUCAUUCUUUACUUAGAUGCACCCACCCCCAGAUUAAUAGAAUGUGUUUUGAUCGGCAUCAUCAAGCAGUCAGCUGGUGCUUCCAAGAAAUCAGCAAAGGUGACUCGGGUCUUUUCAUUGUGGGAAUGGACGCUACCAGCAGGGAAGAUCUCUGGAACCAAGGCAUGGAAGUCCCAGAAAAUGUCUAUAGGGACAUCCCAGACUGGCUGUAUCCCUCAGGAAGAAACCCUCGGACACAGGAAAGCCGCCCAGAUGGCAUUAUUGUUUUACCCAUGCAAGGCAGGAAUUCCUUUUCCUCUCCUAUGCACAAGAAUCCAAGAGACCGUGACAUCCACCUCAUGGAAUUGAAAUUCUGCUCAGAUACUAAACUUGAAGAAACUCUUGCUGUAGCCCAAGCUCAACAUAAGCACACCAUGCACAGCCUAAGAACAAGACCUCUCAGAGGAGCACAUCGCAAUAACAGAGUCUCUUUACACACCAUACUGAUAGGAGUUGCAGGAACUAUUUACAACAACUAUACAAUAAAACCCCUCACUGAGCUUGGUCUAAACAAAGAAAAAGCACAAACACUUGCCAAAUCACUCCAAUGCCAUGCUGUAAAGGCCCUGACAAAAAUCCAAAGCACCAAAAAUGCCAUCAAAUUCAGCAAUUCAAACAAUGGGGGCUCGGGGGGGGGGACGGCCGGCCGGACCUACAGGAGGGCCAGGCGCACGCUUGGCCGGAUGGAGGACAACCCACCGGAUCCUCAUUAGUUUGGUUGCCUUAGUUAGCUUAAGCUGGUGGGGCCCCCUGUUAUGCUUCAGCGCUGACUGUUGGGUACUUUCCUUAAUGCACGCUGGUUUGUAUCCAGCGUAGACUUUUACUUUUACUUUUCACCCUCUGCAACAGUAUCAAUAUCGUUGAGAUAGAUCGCAAAAAAAAGAGGACAUCCUUGUUUAACUCCACACACUGGCUGAACACUAGCCAUUUCGUCACCAUCAAGCAGAGUAUAUUCAUCCAUGUGAUACAGAUCCUGGAGAAUAGCAAUGAGUAGUUGAGGUAGUUGACAAUGAUACAGAUGUUUCCACAGCUUUUCCCGAGGAACAGAGUCGUAAGCUUGCUGAAAAUCAACAAAUGCUGUAAACAAUCUGGAGAUAUCAUUCCGAGCUUUUUGGCCUGCGUUUUUCAGAUGUCGUAGGAUCAAGAUUGGUUGAAGAGUACUUCUUCCUGGGUAAAAUCCAAACUGGGUAUCAGGGAUUUUUCUGUGGUGGAUACACCAUUCUUGGAUAAUGGAUCUCAGGACAUUGGUGUACAGCCGAUAGAUAGGAGCGCUCACAGCUAUCAUCCUAUAAUUAGUUGGAGAAACAACGGGGCCCUUCUUAUGGAUUGGGGUGAGUUUAGGUUCCUUGAAAGCAUCUGGAACACGUGCUUUCCAAAGAAGUAGGUGGAGAAAGGAAGCUAUAUGUGAUGCCAAUACACGCCUUCCUCCAACACUCCCAACAGACCGCCUGUCAACAACACUCCUGGCGCAAACUCUCCCACAGCGCAUGUAGUCUCCGUGCAAACACACUGAUCAAGCCAACCCCUACCCCAACCUGUCAGAUUGCCCACUGCCACCGGCACCACCAGCCCCUAACGCAUAUGUCACAUCCGGCACCUUGUCUGAUAUUGAUGAGGAAGAGGAAUCAUAUUUCUCUCCCGCCCCUUCGUGCUGUGACUCCCCAGAGCCUCCACACCUCACCAAUUCUCUGGAGCCAGGUGUUGAGUUCACUUUGGAAUUUGAUGACUCGGCCUUGCUGACCCCGCUGGCACCAGCACAGCCGCAGGCUCAUGCAAACGUACGACCGCCCUUACCUUUCCAAGCACCACCAUGGCCACUGCAAUCUGAUCAGCCUGCUCCACCAAUUCAUUCUACUUCCACCAUGGCCCAAGGCACCACUCAAGCACGCCCUUCCCCCUCACCAACUCACCGGCCUACCCCAUUUUUGGCCCCUUUUGCUCCCCGUGCCUGUGCUGUACAGCCAACAAGGGUUUUGCGUCCAGGCCCACCUGCUACAAUGCAGCGCCCUCACAUUCAGGCACCAAUCAACUCAUGGACACUCCAGCAAGUCUUGCAGCUGUGCCAUGAACACGGCGACACCACGUGGCUUUUUGCGCAAGCUGGCCCCGCCUGCACUACACAUCUAUACCGACAUCUAUACCGCAGACCAGCGCCUUAACUACCGCUCUGCUCAAUGCCUCUGAAUGCUUCAGCCCGGACAAUGAUGGCCCCACUGUGCACCUUACGUCCGCAGACAACCAGGUUGCCACGCUGCAUCACGCAACGCCACUCACACCUCUCACCCUCACACACGACGGGUACUCUUUUCACCCUGGCACUGCGCUGUUAGAUGGCUGCGCCGACAUUGGCCUUGUGUCUUAUCACGCUGCGCGGCAGCACGGCUUGCGCUACUACCCCAACAACACCACAUACAACUCUUCAGGGGGAAAGUCCCACAAUCCUCUUGGGCGCGUUGACCUUCCCAUCCUGGCAACCAUUCAGGCCUCUCCUGAUACUGCUGCUACUACAUACAGGUACAGUUACAGAGAAGAAAGGCCUCCAGUCAAAUCAACUGACUGCUAGCCUGUUCAUCAAAAAAAGUAAAAGUUCAUGCAGGAAAGGAUAAAGUUCAUUAUUGUUUUGGAUCAAAAAACAUCGCAUGGCAUGCGUUGGAACAUGGUGAGAUGCAUGCAGGAAAAGGUGCCGCUUGAGAUUCUGGAGUUGUGAGGGAAAGGGCAUGUUCAUCAAACAAGGAUGCAUAUUUCCUUCUAAGAUUGCAAACAUGAGGGUGAGUACAUUUAAAUAACACAUGUUGUUCAUCCUGAAUGUCAUUGUGAGCAUCACACAGAUCGCACUUAGGAUCAAUAUUCUCAUUCCAGUAGUUUAGCUCAAUCCUCAAAAGAUGAACACGUAACCGAAAGCGGGCAACACUGCGUAAAAUAUGUGUGGGUAGAUCCAAAUGGAAGUACUUGGGCAGACGACAUGGGGAGAAGGUAGCAUGAGCGUCACGUUGUGGAAGGGCACAGUGAUGGUAGGUAAACGUUUUACCGACGUUUUACUGUUCGUGUCAGGUUCCCGCGGCUGACGAGCAGUAAAAAAGGGUUGCUGCCAAAAUGCCAAAUGACGUUUCCGAAGGUCUACAACAAGUUGACUCAAAUUCAGAGGACUGCCAUUGAGAAUAUGAUGAUGAUAAGACGAAGUACGCCUGAGACCUUGUGUACCAAGCAAGAGAUGAGAAAUCCAGCAUGCAGGAUGGAAUUGGCUGAGUGAAAUGUCCGCCUGAAAAACCUUACGAAGGAGAGGGCUAUUACAAAAAAUGAGGUUAUUGUAAAGGCGUGCACAUGCUCGAAGCCAAUUCAAUUGCAUGGGUUCCAAGCCACAUUCCCGUAACACACUCCAUGAAGGUGUAGAAUUCCUGACCCCAAGUAUGGUGCGUAAAAAUCGUAAGAGCCACUUUUGAAUGCAAUUUUCCAUCUCUUGACCCUGUUGCAGAUAGGAGGUGGCCCAAAUCUGAGAAGCGUAAAUGCCGGCUGGGAUGACAUAAGUUUUGAAUAACCAGAGAUACGCAUGUAAACGGUGAGUGAGACCAUGUUGUUGAAUAAAAGUACGUAUUCUGGUCAUGCUUGCCAGGCACGGCUUGAUAGCUUCCUCUGCAGCUUUGUUCAGAUUGAACUUCUUGUCACAAAACAUGCCUAGAUACUUGAAAUGCUCAGAGAAAGGCAGUUCCUCAUUGUUGUACAGGAGAGUAGGCAUAUUGUGUCCUUGAGAAUUAAAGCACACCACAACAGAUUUCUGUGUGUUGACGGUCAGGAAUUUGUCACGGAGGUAUGUGGAAAGACGAUUCAGCAUUUGCUGCAARCUGGACGGAGAGUUAGAAGUGAGGCACAGGUCGUCGGCAUAGAGGAGAUGAGAGACAGUAAAGCUGGGAAUUCCUGUACACGCGGCUGGGAUAUCAUGAAAGAUGUUAGGGAUGUCAUUCAGGUACAAAGAAAAGAGCAAAGGAGAUAAGGGACAACCUUGUUUGACACCAUGUGUUGGUUUGAUACGCGCGUGUUUGCCUCCAUCAACCAAAAUGUAUUCAUCAUCUUGGUACAGAUUCAUAAGAAUAUGAAUGGAAUGUGAAGGCAGUCGACACUUCUGUAAAUGUUGCCAGAGUCGAUGCCUGGGUACAGAGUCAUACGCUUGCUGGAAAUCAAUAAAGGCAGCAUACAGACGAGGAGAGUGAUGUGGUUGAUGACUUUGUGCAGCAUUCCUCAGAUGACGGAGAAGCUGCUACUACAUACUCUCCCAUACCUUCUUUGUGUUCAAGGAUGUCGGCCCUCAAGCCCAUUUCCUACUGCCCACAGCUGUCAUCAAGGACUGGGGUGCCAUGAUUGACUCUGUCACAAACACGCUGCACUACUGCCCGUUCCUCGACGACCCUUUCCACUUCCAAUCAGUGCCUAUCUGCGCAUCAGUGCCUCAGGCAUCCAGUGUCCAUGCCACUUUGGGCGCCCCUGGCCAUGAAGCGUGUGCAGCCCCGGCCACUCUACCACCAUGCACUUUGGAGAUGACGCUGCCCCAUGGUCAUUCCCCUUCACCCCACGAUGAAUGCUUCAAUCAAGAGUCAGAGACUGGCGUGCAUUUGGGCAACCACCCUGAAUUUCUGCGGAUCAGCAGCAGUGCCUCAUUGAGCUGUUGCAGCGCCACCACUCCACCUUCGCUCAAGACUUGGCCAGCAUGCCCGGCUAACAUGGUGUUGCCGGCCCCUUUACCAUUCCCCUCAUUCACGACAACCCCAUCAUCGCGCCGCGCUGCCAGAAGUCCCCUCAACAAGAUGUGGCCAUAAUUAAUGAGAAAUGUGGUGACAUGGAGCAGGCAGACAUCAUCAUCCCCGCCCCUCCUUACACCAAGUAUGCCAGCGAAGUCACCAUGCCGGUGAAAAAGGACCCAUCCGACAACCUCACUGGCAAACGCUUCUGUGUCGACUACAGGCCUCUCAACGCCGCAUCCCUGCCAGAUUUUUAUGGCAUGCACACACCAGAUGACCUGUUCCGCCGCAUUGCUGGGGCUACAUUUUACUAAGAUUGACAUGCGCGCCGGGACCAUCAGAUCCCCGUGCACCCUGAUGACAUAUGCAAGACUGCAUUUUGGUGGCUCAACCGCAUCUAUUGCUAUGGGUGCAUGCCCUUUGGCGCCAGGAAUGCCAGUGCUCACUUUCAACGCGUGAUGGACACUGAAGUUCUCCAAGCCAACCUGGCCUACUGCUGCCUGGCACUUGUAGAUGACUGCCUGGUCUUUAGCUAUGACGCAGAGCAGCACCUGCAGGACAUUGCAGCCACUCUCAACAUGAUUCACUCCUGCGGCCUACGCAAACACCCCAGCAAGUCAUACUUUGCUGCGGACACUGUAGAGUUCUUGGGCCACCUGAUUUUACCACAUGGCCUCAGCCUAGAAAGGGCAAAGGUGGAAACCAUCAGGCAUCUCCCUCGUCCCACUGACCUCAAGGACCAGCAGUCCAAGUUGGGCCAGCUCGGAUACUACCGGCACUUUGUGCCCAAUUUCUCUGCCAUCGCAUAUCCAAUCAACCGGCUGGCCACCAAGGGAAUUACCUGGCGCUGGGGGGAAGAGCAGGCACAGGCUUAUGAGAAGCUCAAAGACGCCAUUUGCACCCCUGGCUUGGUAUGCACGCCCAACCCCAACAAGCCUUAUUACUUACACACUGACUUUAGUGCGCGCGACAUCGGGGCUGUCCUGGGGCAACUGGAUGAGAACGACAGGGAGUAUUUGGUGGCCUGUAUUUUGCGCUCCCUCAACCAGCAUGAGAAAAACUAUGAUGCCUACAAAGGCACAGAACCUCCUUGAUCCCGGGCGCUAUGUUCCGAUAUGCCAAAGAAGCCUCCCUCCACCUUACACCCCUGCCAACAUCCCCAAGUGGCCACCCCAAGUUCUGCCCACUCUGGUGUCCCAUCCCUUACUCACACAACUUCAGAGUUUUCAAACCAGGGUCUAUCUUUGCUUCAGAUCGCACCAUGACCCAACCCACCCUGAUGAGCGUGAACGCCUCCUGGGAUUUUUGACAGGAGGAACAGCAGCUCCAGGUGUGACAGAUCAGCAACGCCAUGUCGUCACUGGCAGGGCCAUGAGCCCUUUGCAACUCCUGCACCUCUUCCGUUGCCUGCACAUGGUACAGGGUUUACAGGGUUUACAGGAAAUAAAGGCCAUCAGUCAACACUCGCGACUGCCAGGCCUGCAAAUAAAGGUAACAUUUUCAAGAAGGAAAAGGUAAUAAAGGACUGGUUGAGAUGGGUCUGGACAGUUUGGGUUAAGGACUCAUCCUGAACUCCUAUAAAGUAUAAUAGUAAGUACCGAUGAAGGAGACACACCUCAUUCAAGCGUGAAAGGAAYGCAAAUUGCUGAACCCUACAUGGCAGUUUGUGAAGGUACUGGAUAACAUGCUUACAAGGCAGGUUGAAUACAUUAGCGCAUCAAGACCCUUGAGACUUCUGCCAUAUUUCCAUGCCGUCUUGCAAAGAUGUUGAAUGAGUGGAAAAGAAAUUCAGCGAGGCUCAGUUGUAAUCUUUGAAGUCRUUCAGUUCCACCAUCAGAGUGACGAAGGCCUGCAUCGCAUGUAUCAUUCUGCAUAUGGUUUUCUUUCUCACAGAUGGAAGGAGAGGUAGAGAGAGAUUGUGUGMUGUUAGCCUCAAUWGAUGCAGUUGGUAGGUUAAUUUUGUUCUURUAGUUCAUGCCGCCUUUGCCCAUGUUCAACAGCGGAUCGAAGAUGAAGUGUUCCCAGACGGGAUACUUGAAUGCCGGUGUAUCUUGUUUCUUGAAGUUUAAGGCAUCCCUUCUAUCUCCGUAUGAAAGGAAAAUGUUUGAACCGUUCACUCCAACGUAUGAAUUGAGGCCAACAAAUUUCGGUUGAGCGGAAAUGACACGCUGAAUGUCAGUAUUCAAGUCAUUCAAACUUCUCUCGCGUUGCAUAGUCAUCUUUGUGCGUUCCCUUUGCACUUUCCAAUCAUUUGGUAUUUUGUCCUUGACAGUGUUGAGGAACGAUUCCACAGCUAGAGAGCCCGCACGUCGCCCGUUUCCGACAAGAAUACGAAAUGUUGUGUUGUACUUGUUGCAUGGGAGGAUUGUCUUGUCUGUACCAAGGACAUGCGAUAUGGUGUUGGCAGAAACGCUGUCUUUAGUCACCACGAACGCAUGUCCAGAUAUGUCAUCAUAUUUGUGGCAAUCCAUUUCAGUAUCUUUCUCCCAUUUGGAAGCUGCAUCAUAAUCAUGCUUGCGAUUGCCGAAUUGUUGCUCAAAGUUGGAUAYGCGUCGUUGGAGUAACUGGUUUUGUGAUGUUGUUUCGUGCAAUKGUCUCGUUAAUGCCGUAGCUUGCUCACACGUACGGGCCUCUUUCUGCCGAAGUUUAGUGUCAAAGUGGUUGGCGAGCUCUAUUCGUGUAGGUAGUCUCCAUAUAACCAUGGACUUGGUGCUUCGUUCAGGAUGUGUCCUUGUUCGAUACUUUGUAAUCAUCUCAUCGGUUUUUUUUUUUUUUUUUGCACAUGGUACAUGCCGACUACAGUUCAUCAACAAUUGGGGGGGAUGCACCUCCUUCUCCACCUCCACACACAGCCAUCAACAAUUGUUGAUGAACCACUGGCCCCACGCACACCUUCACCCCCAACUGCGCCAUCCAUGUUUGACGAUCUUGGCAGUCCUGACCCGCACUCUGCCGUCAUCAGAGGCAUCCCUUCCUCCGUGUUCCUCACCCACGCGCAGCAACCCUUAGAUGACCUGGCUACCUCUGAUGAGGAAGAUGCUGAGUUUGAGUUUCGGCCAGAUUCUCUGCCUGACAAGCGCAUGUCCUGCAACCCCAUCCACCGGCCAGAAGCCCCUUACCGCCGUGAUCUGGAUUCAUAUAUGGAGGAGCAAGAGUUUUCACAGCGUGUCUUCCAGUCAGAAGCAGGGCAGGCAGCAGUGAAUGAGGCAGCUGACUUUGACGCUGAUGUGGCAAUUGCAAGCCUGGACAAAACGCAAGACAUCUAUGCGGACGCUGACUUCAUUUCCUACAACACCAAGACUUCCCUGAUGGCCUGGCCAAAGAGGAUCGUGACCGCAUACGCUGUAGGGCACGCUUCAAUUUCAUUGGAAAAGAUGGCCGGCUCCGCCAUCUUAAUAAUGCAGGCCACGCCAGGAUCAUCCCGCAUCCCUCAGAGCGCAUCCAACUGAUUGCGCAGUGGCAUGAGCAGUGUUGCCACUUUGGUGUCAAACGCACCCUCUCCCUCUUGGCACAGCAUUUUUGGUGGCAUGGGAUGGUUGACCAAGUCCGCCGUGUCAUACGCAAUUGCCCCGUCUGCUCACGUGCCAACGCGUCAUUCAAUGUCAAGACACCACAGCUGCACCCAUUGCCAGUGGAUGGAUUGUUUUUUCGAUGGAAUAUGGAUUUGGCAGGUCCCAUCUCAACCCCAUCAGUCCGCGGCAGCAGCUACAUCUUUGUGGCUGUACAGCAUAUGUCCAAAUACCUGAUCGCGGUGGCCAUUCCGGAUAAGACGGCUGCAACUGUCACUGCCACCUGCGUGGAGCGCAUCUUGACGGUCUUUGGCUCCAGCGCGCAAGUGCUGACUGACAAUGGGAGUGAGUUUCAGGGCGUGUUCCAAGAACUGUGCGUCAACCUGUGCAUAGACCACCGCAACACCUCCGCCAACUGCCCUCAGUCAGAUGGCCUUGCAAAAAAGGCUGUGCAGACCAUCAAACAAGCCCUCCGCAAGCACUUGAUAGUCAACCCCGACCAAGAUUGGGACACCAGGCUUCCUUGGGUUGCACUGGCAUACAACUGCAGCAUCCAGGAGGCCACCAAGUUCACCCCAUAUGAAGUGGUCUUCGCCAGAAAGCCCAUAAUCCCACCUGACACUGCCUCUGCUUUUGCCCAGCCCCUGUCCAUUGCUACCCCUGAAGACCUUGCCCAACUGUGCCAAGAAAGAGCCCAGGCAGCUGAGCGCGCCAGCAUCAUUGCUGGUGAGAACAUCAAGAUUGCACAACACAGGGACAAGCUUUGGAACGCCCGCCUCAGAGGGGGAGGCUACACGCCCAAGCUUUUGGAGUUCCACGCUGGCAACCUGGUGUAUUUGCAGCGGAGCAACCAUGCCCACAGCCUCCAGCCCACCGUAUUGCAGCGCAUAUACCGGAUGCUUAUCCCGCCAGUAGCCGGGGCUGUCAAGCUCCAAGGAAGGGAUGGCCGCACCAUUACCACCAACGUACGCAACUGUGCCCCAAGCCACAUGACCGUGGACCUUACUGUUUAUCACACACUGGCACGUCCUGACGCCAGCUUGUCAUGUGAGAUAUGCAGCCUUCCACACCAGGCCCUCAUGCUGUAAUGUGACGCAUGCGAUGCAGGCUACCACACCUACUGCCUCCGGCCCCCAUUGCCACGCGUACCCUGGGGCAUCUGGCUCUGCCCUGCCUGCCUUGAUGACGGCAUCACUGCUGACCAGGUCAAGCAGAUCCAAGAAGUAGAGGAGGCACAACCUGAGCAGCGCCAACGCAUGAUUUUGUCACCCCGCCGUGGCAGGCCUUCCCGUAGCGCAUCCCCGCAGCAAGCAGAACAUGCACCGCCUAAGCAGCAGCAGCAGGGACCCGUCACCCCGCCGCAGCAGGCGCACGCGCAGCCUGGCCUCUAUCUAUGCAUCCUAGCUCUUGGGCUGAGCUGCAGGCCCAGGCCACUCAACCUUCAACCCAUGCCUCACCACGUUCGGCCUGAGGCCACCCAACCUCCAACUCUUGCCACACCUCGUAUAAGCCCUGUCCUUCGCCUAUUGCAAUACCCACCAGGCAACCUCACCUCCAACUCGUGCUACACCACGUCCAAGCCCCAUCCUUUGCCUUACGCAACGCACGCCUGUCCAUCAUGCCACCAGCCCAUGCUUCGCCAUAUACACGCCUUCUUCACCUUACGUUCCCUCAAUCCAAUCUUCCAUCACCCCUUGCCCCCUAGACACCCAGACAACGAACAACCUGACCUCGCUCAGACAACGGACAGCCUGAAACCGCCCAGACAACGGACAAUCUGACCUUGCCUCAACGACGGGCAACCUGACAUUACCUUGGCUAUGGUCAACCUGUCAUCAGGCUUGAGGAAUUUAUGCCGCAAAACGAAUCAUCCUUGGCAGGUUUACGCCCACUGUUUCCACCCUUGAAGCCCAUCCCCUGGAGACCCCUGGCUUUCACUGUAACCCGUUCAUGACAACCUGCCUUCCCUGAGCUCAAUGUCAACACCAUAGGUUACCUGAGACCGACCCAGAUCUGGCGUAGAUGUCCACCUUGAGGGGUGUAGAUGUCCGCCUGACGUUAAGCGUAGAUGUCCGCCCAGUGCUGGCAUAGAUGUCCGCCUGAAUUCAGUACAGACGUCUCACCAACUUCAAGCCUUAAAACAAGUGUGCAACUUCCUCAACAGAGACAGGAGGAACAAGCACCCUUCAAACUUGCCUGCAAUGGAUCAGAAUAAGAUCACCUACAGUGACAUCAAUAGAGAAAUCAACAACAUAGACAUACAGCACAAUGGUAAGCCUCACAAGAAUGCAAAGAAAAAGCUGCAGGAAAGCAUUGCUAAGCAUCCAUCCCGCGCGAGCCAUAAAAUUUUCAAUUAUGUCCAGAACUAAUCCCCCAAUCUUAUGGCACUGGAAGAUCCGCAUACCAAAACAGUCCAAACAGACCCAGCUGUCAUGCGCAUUGUCGUCCGCGCAUCAUUAAUGUCGCGAGUGCAGUGUGAACUGAGGGCCUCUGGGCCAAACUGURUAUUAUUCCUAGUAAAGACAACCAGUGCAGGCCUGAGUGCACCAUGUGCAAACCAAUGUAGCGUAGGCCUGAGUGCACCAUGUGCAAACCAAUGUAGUAAUGCCUUUGCAGUAGUGUGCGUGCCCUGUGGCAAACCAUAAGAGACGUUCAUUGCUCAGUAGGGUGUGCACUAUUUGGGCCAUGCUUCAUGCAGAAAAAUGCACGGGCUUGGACUGCUUUCGCCUCUGGUGGGCGCAUCACUUGAGUUGUGCAGGAUGCCAAGGAUGCGUCUUCAUCUUCCUUACUUAAUGCCACUGUGUGCUUUUUGUGUGCUUUGGAUUCAUGCAUUCCAUCUCAUUUAACAUGGCCUGGUGAUUGUGCAGGUGCUCAGCCAUUUCAAGUACUGUGAUCUUAGGCUGUCAAUGCGUAUGGAAACCAAGCGCGGAUGCAGUUCCUUGUUGUUGCUGCACUUGACGAGCAGCAUCUUCAAAGCCUUGUCAUUGCUGAUAGUUGAAGCUUUGUGCACCUUGACAAAUUUUUGCGCAAACAUGGAGGUCCAUGCCAUGCACCAGCUGCAUAUUACACAGUUCUUGGUCAGGGUGUGCAGCCAUGUGUCUGAAGUGCUCCUGGACCGCUUCCAGAUGGUGCUCGUGCAUGGACCUACCCUCCGAUGGCGUGGCAAUGAGGGCAUACCGGUUUGCCUCAUACCAUUCCUGGCUGGCGUCUCUGUCUUGAAUGCCGCGAGUCAGAAAAAUAUCAACAAGAUCAGCCUCUGAAAUGCUAUUGUUGCCCUUGUUCAAGAGAGCUGUCCUGGCAAAACCACCAUUUGGCCGGGCUGAUCCAGUCAUGCAAAUCAUCCUUGCCCUUCUCGCCCCUAAUUUGUGGAGCUGACUCAGGGAUGUUGGUUGCAGGCAUUCCUUCCAAAUUUGCUAAAGGGUCGUCAAGUGUUCUUAACCCUGUCUCUGGUGCCUAAAACACUUCUUCCUGGUCUUGAGGUUCUGUGCUGACCACUGGUUUGGCUGGUUGGUGAGCACUAGCCUCUCCUAGAUUUUUGGUACUGGUUUCUAUCAAUGGCGCAGCUUGUUGGCUGGUGCCAGCAUUUACUUGCUGUUGAUUGGCAGCAUCUUGUUCUAAUUCUCUUCUAUCAGCAGCCUCCUUUUGCAGUUUAGCCUGCAACCUGGUUAAAGGUAUACCCAUUCAUAACAAGAGCCCUUGGAGGAGGAGUGGGCGCAGCAGCCCACCGUCUAAUUAUUUGAGAACACAUAUGCAGGUCAUGCAACACGCACUGAUGCUCUAAAUGAUUUCUCCUUGUUUCACAUGGUGACAAGAAUCCCUAUUCCAUUGUUUUUGUUUUCCUUUUCUUUGGUGGCAAGAUCAGCUAGGUCGAUGCACUUCAAAAUGGAUGGUCUCUAUGGGCAAGAUAAUGCAAGCUGUCUGUUGUUCUUCAAGCAACUCCCAAAAGAGAAAGAGAGAUACAGAUCACUACACGAAGCCUGAGGCUGGGUUCACUGACCAAUGCGGCGCAGGCCGCUGCAUGCUGAGGAGUUGAUCACAUUGAUGGUGACCUGCCCAUUGAAGUACAUGCCCUGCUGCACCGUCUGCAUGGGCAUGGGUGGUAGCUGCUCGACGAAGGGCUGCAUCCAGGGAGCCCUCGGUGCGUCCAUGGGAAGGUGCCGCCAGAGCUUGAAGUUGCACUCCUCGUUUAGGUGGGGAGGAGUGUGGCGGCAGUGACCAUUGUGGAUGCACCAGGCAUUGUCGGGGAAGGCCCAAUGCAGCUGCAUGCGCGAAAAGAAAGAAAGAAAGAAAAAUCUACGCCCUUGAGCGUGCAUUAAGGGAAGAACCUGUCAGGGAACUCACCAACCACCCGGAUUCCUCCAAGUUUCUUGUGCGCGCACUGGGGUAGGCCGGAUCCCUCAGGUUUGCGCGGCGCUGCUGCAACAUGCCUCCACCCCCAAAGUGCAUGGGUGGUGCACCUCUCAUGGCGCCCCGCAUGCCACCCCGCAUGGCACCUCUCAUGUUACCCCUCAUGGCACCCCUCCCCUAGUGAAGGCCUGGGUAAGGCUGCCUCCUGCUCCAUGGCCAGGGUAUCCCCGCGCUUGCCGCGGCCACAACCCCGGCCACAACCCCGACCACAACCCCAAAUAUCCUGCUGCUGGAUGGGCUGCACAAUACCUUCCAUCUCAUCAUCGGGAGCGUGCUGGACUUGCUGCUGACCAUGGGGGGGGUACCUGCUGGACUUGCUGCUGGCCAAUCUGACCAGCGAUCUCGUCCAAAGUUCUCACCAUGGUCAAAGCAUUUUCUUCAUGCUGACUUGCAAUUUCUGCGCAUGCAUCAAAUUUCAGAAAGGCACGCGUGCCUGACUUGUCUUGUCAAAACACAAUUUUCCCUUUAAAUAUGUGUGCCAUAUCCCAAUAUGCCCUGUUACUUGGAAGAAUAAUCUUUGUCAAAGAGAGCUCAGAUUGAGGCGGCAUAAAAAAAUGGAAAGGCCCCCCUUGUCUCAAUGCGGGUAGAUCACAGGCCUUUCCACCUUUAGUCUGCAUUCCACCCUCUACGUGAAUGGACGGCCUUGAUUCCCCCCAUUAGGCUUUGAUACCACGCACCUACUGUGUUGGCCGGCCUUAAUUCCCCCCAUAAGGCUUCAACCUCCCAAUCGCGGGCAGAUAAAAAACUGUCCAAUUUUUCAUUAUAGCCCAGCAGUCAUCCAUUUUGACUGAGUGGCUCUUUCCUUGUAACCUUGUAACCUCCCAAUCGCGGGCAGAAGGCCUUCAAUCCCCAGGUAACUGCACACCAGUGGUGUCGUAAGCUAAUCUAAAAUCAAGAAGGCCCCUCCCCUGUUGUCGGUGAAUGACUAGCCUCUCUCCCUUAAGGCUUUGAUUCCACCCUAAAAGUAGUCAUCUCUAGUCUAUUGCGGGUGGACGGCCUUGAUUUCCCCCCGUAAAGCUUCUCAACCAGGUACUCUGCCAUGGCGGGCCUUUGAUCCCCCCUUGAGGCUACAAGCCACCCCACUGCGGGCAGUUGGCCCUCACACCCAGUCAGGGACAGUCACCUUUUCAUGCAGAUCAUGAAAUGCCCCCAACUUGCCGCAUCAACAAAGCCUUAAUGCUCAUCCUAGGCAGGCAGCAGUGGAUAGCAUUUAAAGUUUCAGCUUGAUACGUCUACGUUUCCUUGAAGGAAACCACUUGCUUCUGGUUUUGUAAAGUGCUUUCAGCUUGCAUGCUCGCUUGCACAGGGAACUUAAUCACUGAGCACUGCAUGUGCUGGCUACACAAAUAAGACAUGACUUUGACGAUGGACGCGUGGCCCUAAACCUAACACUGAUGAUGUGUGAGAGCUCAAACAUGACAGCCAGAGAUGAGGUGCAGAUUACCACCCCCAUUGACCUUUGGAGCGUCUUGUAAAGGCUACAUUUCUGACCACACUGAUGCCGCCAAUGGCGAGGCAUAAAUCUAGGAUAAUGGCUCUGAGACUCGGCAUAGCAAGUGGGGGGUAUACAGAGUUACAGAGUUACAGAGGAAAAAAGGCCUCCAGUCAAACCGACUGACUGCUAGCCUGUUCAUAAAAAAGUAGGAGUUCAUGCAGGAAAGGAUAAAGUUUAUUAUUGUUUUGAUUCAAAAAAGAACGCAUGGCAUGCGGUGAGACAUGGUGAGAUGCAUGCAGGAACGGUGCCGCUUGAGACUCCGGAGUUGAGAGGGAAAGGGCAUGUCCAUUAAACAAAGAUGCAUAUUUCCUUCUAUGGUUGCAAACAUGAGGGUGAGUACACUUAAAUAGCACAUGUUGUUCAUCCUGAGCGUCAUCAUUAGCAUCACACAGAUCGCACUUAGGAUCAAUAUCUUCAUUCCAGUAGUUGAGCUCAAUCCUCAAAAGAUGAACACGUAACCGAAAGCGGGCAACACUGUGUAAAAUAUGUGUGGGUAGAUCCAAAUGGAAGUACUUAGGCAGACGACAUGGGGAGAAGGUAGCAUGAGCGUCACGUUGUGGAAGGGCACACCAAUGAUGAUAAGUGAACGUUUUACUGUUCGUCUCAGGUUCUCGUGGCUGACGAGCAGUAAAAAAGGGUUGCUGCCAAAAUGCCAAAUGACGUUUCCGAAGAUCUACAACAAGUUGACUCAGAUUCAGAGGACUGCCAUUGUUAAUAUGAUGAUGGUAAGAUGGAGUAUGCCUAAGACCUUGUGUACCAAGCAAGAGAUGAGAAAUCCAGCAUGCAGGAUGGAAUUGGCUGAGUGAAAUGUCUGCCUGAAAAACCUUACGAAGGAGAGGGCUAUUACAAAAAAUGAGAUUGUUGUAAAGGCGUGCACAUGCUCGAAGCCAAUUCAAUUGCAUGGGUUCCAAGCCACAUUCCCGUAACACACUCCAUGAAGGUGUAGAAUUCCU
rnacentral:lncRNA from 1 species